AAGUCGUAACAAGGUUUCCGUAGGUGAACCUGCGGAAGAAUCAAUUACCGUGGGGGAUUCGUCCCCCAAUUGAGAUAGCCCCUUUUGUUUCAUGAGUACCCCUUUGUUUUCCUCGGCGGGCCUGCCCGCCAGUAGGACAAUAUCAAAACCCUUUUGCAGUAGUAGUAACUUCAGUUAAUAAACAAAUAUUAAAA
rnacentral:misc_RNA from 1 species